AGACGCAGGAGGCAAGACGAGCGUGAGCAGGCUGGAAUCAGGAGCGGCGCGCGGAGAGGAAGGCCGAGCCGCAGGCUGGAAGGAGGGCUCCGGCGAGAAGGCGAGCCCGUCGGCGAUCCGCGGUAGGCUGCACUGCGCAGCAAGGCUUUGCAAACGUCGCUGCCUGCACAGGAGGCCAAGGCACAACCCGAACACACCUGCACGCCGGACCUUCACCGCCCCACCAGCGGGGAUGAAAGGACACGGGGCUGGAGGCAGGUUUGCCUGCGGCGGUGGCGGUGGCGGGCGGCCCUUUUCCCCGGCUGCGGGAUAUCCAGCUCGGCUUCAAAAUGCGUGCGGAUGUUAACAGCUUGGGAACGCUCGCUGCCUGGGAGUGAACGCAAAGGGAAAUUAUGAUCUGGUAAACUGGAUUUGGUGCAGUUAUAAAUAAACUAAUUUGCUUAAAUCAC